UCCCCUGCCCUCUCAGCGGACUGACCCCGCGUGACCCCUGACCUCUGCCGAAGUUGCCACUAGCCCUGAUAGCCCCACCCCCUCGGCUCCCACCCCACCCAACGUGCUCGCGGGCGGGGGAGGGGCCCGCGCGUGCGCGGCUGGAGGCGGAGUGAGCCGGCUGCGCGCACGGCCCGGGGGCUCCCGCCAGAACCCGAGCCCACGCACACAGGGGUCGCGGGGCUGGGAAGCCCCUCAUCUCAGCCCGUCAGGGAGCGCGUCCCCCGUCACCAGACCGAGAAGGGCUGAGAGAAGGGAGGGUUCAUGCAGCCAGAUCCCGGUCCCCUGGCUGGAUGUGCACACAGAUGCAGACGGUGGGUGGGAAAAAGGGGAGACGCUACUGCCAGGAACCGCCGCCGCUGCUCCCGAGGCCUCACCAAAAUGGCCGCCGCCGUCUCGGCCGCCACCACCACCACAACCACCACAGCUCGCUAUCGCUACCGCCGGCGCGGCCCGUCCUCUCGCGAGAGACAGUAACUGGAGGGUUGGAGAUCACCCAGUGAGAUGAAGCAAGUUAGUAGCGGAACCUGGGCCUCCAGAUUCCCAUGGCAGCCCACUUCUAUAGCGCUGCUUCGUUUUACACCAGGAUGGUCUCUUGAUAGCUUUCAAACACAUUUGCCAUCUGUUCGCAAACUUUAUAGGUUAAGAACCCCCCUUUGAGAAUCAGACACCUUUACCCCAGAAUAGAACAAUAAAUAGCAGCUACCUUCUACUGAUGCUACA
rnacentral:lncRNA from 13 species